GGCGGGCAGCGCGUUUCAUGGAGCCCGCUGGGCAACUGAUCCGCCUCUAGUCUCCCACGAAGCGGGCCGUAGCCCGCGAAAGCUGAUGCUCAAAUAACCGUGUUAGCCUCCCAGGUGCCACAGGGCCGCCGCCGCCGCCUCCUCCUGUUCCUUUUUCCGCAGCCGCCCUGGCGCACGGGUCCUUUCUGCCUGGGUAGCGCCAGGGACGCCGCCUCACCCGCUGGGGCCGACCUCGGGUGUCCGCGGCGAGGGGUGUGAGCCUCCCGUCCCGUGAGGAAACAUGGCUCGCCGGCCCAAGCCGGGGACAGCCGCAAAACGUGCCACACGCCGGCACCAGCAGCAGCCCAGCGCGGCGGCAGUUUCAGCUGAUUCCCCGACUGCUGUUGGCUGUGGCCGUGCCCGCGCAGAGCAGGCCAGGCAUGAUUUACAAGUGCAACCUGGGAAGCAAGAGCAGGGCACAGAAAGGGCGUCAAAAAAAAACCACAAGUUUGAUGAAAGCUACGUUGACCUUGGAUUUACGAGGACUGGGGACGCUGGAUACCCUCAGCCACAGCGUGUCCUGUGCGGUGCAGCUUUACCAAACGGCACUCUUAAACCGUCCCUUCUUCGCCAGCAUCUAGAGACUAAAGACAAUCAAUUCAAAGACAAACCAGCUCAGUUUUUCAAUUGCAAAACCAGAAGCGCUAAAAAGCAACAAAAAAAUCCUGCCAUCGAAUUCUUGCGUGGAAAACGUAAAUGUACUUCGAGCUUCAUACUUCAUGAGUUACAGAGUGGCUAAAACAGGAGAACCACACGCUAUUACAGAAGAUUUCCUUAUACCUGCUGUGAAGGCCAUGGGGAAGUGCAUGCUCGGUGAAAAAGCAGGAAAAAAAAAAAAACUUGAUUCCAUACCCUUCUCCAAUGACACUGUCACACUGCAUUGCUGAUAUGGCAGAAAAUGUUCUUUCUCGGCUUGUGAAUUGGAUUAGGAACAGUGACUAUUAUUCUUUGUUUCAGAGUAGCAGCCGUGUUAGUCUGUAUUCGCAAAAAGAAAAGGAGUACUUGUGGCACCUUAGAGACUAACAAAUUAUUCUUUGCCAUUAGACAAGUCCACAGAUUUAGACAGCCUAGCUAAUCUUUUCGUUUAUGUUCGUUCUAUAUAUGAAAGUACCGUACAUGAAGACUUUCUCUUUUGUCAUUCCCUGCCUAUCCAAACAACGGGAGAAGAGAUUAUUUUUUUACUGCUUGAUAACUUCAUGAAUGAGAAUAGAAUUGGCUGGUUCCACAGUGUAGGGAUUUCUACUGAUGGGACAAAAUUAAUGAUAGGAAAGCACAGAGUGGAGUCGUGGUUCACAUCAAGGCUGUAGCAACAGAAGCCACAUGGGUGCACUGCAGCAUCCAUAGAGAGGCCCUAGCUUCCCAAAAAAUGCCUGAAAACUUAAUGUCAUUGUUGUCUGAUGCUGUCAAAAUGGUUAACUUCAUUAAGGGUCAGUGUCUAAAUUCAAGAAUUUUUGCUACCCUGUGUAAUGAAAUGGGAAAUGACCAUUUGCCACUACUAAUGCACACUGAGCUUCGCUGGCUGUCGUGUGGCAAAGUGCUGACACGACUCUGAGCUGCACAGCGAGCUUCAAUUUUUUUUUCACCAAUCACUACCCCUUUGCACUGUCAUCUUGCUUGUAAGAUGCUGCCUGGCUUCAGCGAUUAGCCUACUUGUAGACAUUUUUUCUUGCCUUAACGAGCUCAAUUUUGGCCUUCAGGGCUUAAGCACCACUAUUUUUGAAACACAAGACAAAAUCGAAUCUAUGAUUAAGAAACUACUGUUUUGGGAGAAUUGCUUAAAGAGAAAUGUGAUUGACUGCUUUCCAACAUUGCAAGAAUUUCUUGCAACAAAUUACAAUAUGCUGUUGCAUGAGAGUGUGAAAGCUGACAUUAUGGAACACUUGCAACAAUUUAGCAAACAACUUAGAAAAUAUUUCCCCAAAAUGGACAAUGAAAAUUUCUGGAUAUGCAAUCCAUUUAAGGAGCCUGAAUCUCUUCCAAUUCCUCCUCUGCCAGUGCAUGAGCAGGAGAAACUUUUAGAUCUCUCUUGUGACAGUAGGCUUAAAUUAGAAUUUGCAUGCAAACCUUUGGCAGACUUCUGGGUGCAAAGGAUGAAAGAUUACCUAUACCUGUCAAAACGAGCUUUCAAGUUUCUGAUGCCCUUCUCCACAACAUACCUUUGUGAGACUGGAUUCUCUGCCCUCGUGGCGAUCGAGACAAAGUAUCCUCAGAGAUUAAAUGCUGAAAAUGACUUGUGAGUGAAGCUCUCUCCAAUUUUCCCUGCCAUCAGUGAUUUGUGUGAUAAAAAGCAAGGACAUUCAUCACACUGAUAGGUCAGGAGAUUCGUGAAAACCGACCCCGGUCUGCAAGUGAUUUUAAUUUUGAGGAAUCGACAUUUUUAGAUAAAAUAAUGUUUCAUUGCAAAAUUCCUGACCUGCUCUGUUGGGGAGCUGACUUCUCAACUCUGAGAUCAACUGCCCUUCCAGACGAGGUCAAAUUCAGAAGAGCCAGCUGUGUGGCUGUUUGCCUUUGAGUGGUGAUAUGGAGAUCCUGCACGCAUGUCUGCUGCUGCCAGCACAGAUCCAGGGGUUGCAUAGCAGAAAGGCUCUACGAGCAAUGCUGCUGACAGCUUCUUUCUUUGAGGCUGAGAUAUAACCUCUGACAUACAGAUGUCUAGGUGGAAAAGAGAUCAGCAGGGACCUGGCACUCCACACCUGGGCAGUUCUGUUCUGUCUCACGUGGCAGGCGAGGGAUUCCCAGGACUCCAGUUCUGCGGUGUGGACGGAGAGGUGAGAGACUGUGCUGAAUGUGCCGUCUUCCUCCCUGGAAAUUCCGUAAGUGAAGGAGUCCAGAGCACUUCCAUUCUCAUUCGAAAACCAGACGACAUCUGCCAUGUCCUGGGAGAGGUCGUUCACCACACAAACCACUAGGGUCUUCCUCUCGCCGUUCACGACCAUGUGCUGGGCGACCAGUGCCUACAGCCUGGAGUCUAUGGCCCCUGCCGGCCCGUCCAAGCAGCCAGGUGCUGGAUCCUGCCCCUGCUGGAGUGUGAAACUUGUUGCUGAUCAACAAUUCUGUCCAGACAUGGGGGUGUCUUCGACAAGCACACGCAUGUGUCAUGGAGACAGUAGCUGCUCACAGAGGGACCUGCAUACAACAGCUCUGAAGAGCCACCAUCCCAUGGGAAGAAAGCUUGGGGACUCAUGAGCGGUACUUCCGGAUAGAACCUUUCUUGGAAUAUUCAUUCCUAAAUGGAUGGAAUCUAAGACUGAUUUGGGUAUUGAAACUGUAUCUUCCACAAAGGAGUAGUUCUGGCUCCACUCUGAGUAGAAAAUAUGCCAUUUCCUUAUUCACUGGAGGUGCAAGGGAAAAGCUCAAUGCACCAUCAUUCCCAGCAAAGUUAGGAGAUCCUUGAAUUCUCCAUGAUCCUUUUUACCAGGGUGACAAAAUGUCAGCCCAAGCACAGCACACGGCUGGGACACAGUGGUAAGAGACUGGGAAGCUAUGUAUGGGAUCCUGGCCCCAGGAGGGGAGUGCCAGGAACCAGGUCAGAUUGUGGCUCCAGGGAUGGAGGGAUUAGAGCUUUAGGUUAUGUCUGUAGUGGCAUGCAUACACAAGUACUGAACUGUGUAUGUGCUUGCGCAUAUUCCCCUUGCCCGUACAGUGUCUCUACGUUAUACUGUGCAGGAUGUGGGUAUAACACUGUAUACCUGUGUCCACACUGGCGCUGUUAAAUGACAGAGCUACCAUUUCAGGGAUAGUCUCCCUGAGUUCUGUGCAGACUGGGGGAGACUAGAAACCACUAUGCUGUGUGUUGGCACCGAUAUUUGCAGUUGGCAGUUCUGGACUGCAUUGCCCUUCACUGUUUCACUCAGUUCUCCUGGCUCAGUCCUUAAACCCAGUACCUUCCCUUCCAGCAGUCACUAUGCAGACACUGCAGGUGCCGCUGUUUGCUGGGCCAAUUCAGCAGUGAGCUGCAGAGCUCUAAAGUGGUGGGGUGCAGAAGGAAGCCCAUUGUACAAACAGCACAGCCAAGUACAUGGAUUUGACCUAAUUUUUCUCAGAAGGAAAGUGGCUAAGUAGCAAAAGGUAGUUCUGUUAGAAGAGAUAAUAGGAUUCUAUUCCGGACUCUACCGGAAGUUUUCCAUGUCCCAGGCCUGGGCGCUGUAGUAGGCUACACUGCCUCCCUGACGGGUAGGGAUAAGAGGCCUUGGCCAUUGAUAUGGUUUGUCAAGAGCACAAAAAUAUCAGUCAGUGGAAGGGGGAACUUGAACUCAGUCUCCUGGCUUGUUGCCCUGAGCACCCUACUUGACUCCAGGGAAUUUUAUUGGGGAAGCUUGCUCUUGCUGUCUCUGGAGACUGUGCACAGCGCUGGCCUUCUGUUUCAGGAUCCCCAGAAUUGAAUAACUUUGUAAUAAUUAGGUUUUGGAGCUUGUUCUUGGUGCCAGAUACUAGAUCUCAGAAAAGGGUCCUGGCAAUCUCAGCUCCAGAGAUACUGACCUUCCUCAGACUUUUAGGGAGGCUGCUUGGAGUAGUGGCAAAAGUACAAAACCAAAUACAGAGAGAGGGUCUAGGGUAGCGCCGUAAACAGUUGUGAUGCAUUUCAGAUUCACUUCUAUGCGUGUUACAGUAAUAAGUGGUAAUAAGAUGAAGUAACAUUUAGUAACAUCAUUAGCCAUGACCAGGUCUGACCAUGACUUUGGCCACAUCCUCACUUGUUUGCACACACUUCUGAAAUCACUUCACGUGGUUUUCUGGUGUAUCUGGCUCAUUUAGUCAGUGGCAGCCAGCUGUGUGUUCAGGCCCCAAGUAGGUGCACCAGCCUGGGAGGCGGUCCCCAUCAGGGGAUCUCACCAGUGUGACUCAGGAGCCCCACCCUGAGAGCCUCCUCCAGCUGGCCGACAAAAUAGUACACACCAUGUACAGGGCUGGGCUGCAGGCGACACUGAUCUGCACAGGGGCACCAGUGGAGAAGUCCUGAGAGGUGAUGACACACAACACACGCAGUCCUCCUGAUUUUUAAAUGUAAUUGCUUAAAUCUACAAAUUUUGCAAUGUCAUAAUUACAUUUAAACACUGGGAGGAUUAUGGAAAAUCAGGGAGGGCUGGUAUCUCUGCUGUCAGGUGGAGCCUGCCCCUAUUUAAAAAAAAAAAAAUCCACCUUUUUUGUGCAGAAUCAGAGUUAAAAAUUGUGGAAAUUUGAAAACCUAUCAUUCGGGGAAGGCAACCAGUGUUUCAGGAACCCUUUGAUCAAAUGUCCUCCAAUGUGCAGCAUAUUCUGCCCUGGGCCCUGAAUUGGCAUACGUUUCCAAGUCCAUCUAAUGAUGGACUUGGAUUUUAGAGACGUCACAAAUUUCAGCUUUAAACAGAAACCAUAUUGCAACUACAACUAAUGAUUUUUCCAUCUUUAGUUUUAUAAUAAUUGCUAGAAAUACACCAUGAACUUGCAACUGAUUAACAUUUGAAUCACUGCUCAAUAAUAUUUAUCUAAAACACCUCAUUUGUUAUUACUUAUAUUUAAAUACCACAGGGUAUUGUGCUAUUUUUCCAAAAUCUGAAUAAACUACUAUUUCUCUCAUCCGUAA